rnacentral:rRNA from 1 species
GACUACCGGGGUAUCUAAGCCUGUUUGCUCCCCCAGCUUUCGUGCCUCAGCGUCAGUAUCAGUCCAGAGAGCCGCCUUCGCCACCGGUGUUCUUCUUGAUAUCUACGCAUUUCACCGCUACACCAAGAAUUCCGCUCUCCUCUCCUGAACUCGAAGCCCCGCAGUUUCGAAUGCCGUUCCGCAGUUAAGCUGCGAGAUUUCACAUUCGACACGCGGAACCGCCUACGCACCCUUUACGCCCAGUAAAUCCGAACAACGCUCGCCGCCUCUGUAUUACCGCGGCUGCUGGCACAGAGUUAGCCGUGGCUUCCUCUUGAAGUACUAUCACUCCGAUGCGCUGUUCGCGCACCGGGCUUUGUUCCCUCAUGACAGCAGUUUACAAUCCGAAGACCUUCAUCCUGCACGCGGCGUCGCACCGUCAGGCUUUCGCCCAUUGCGAAUGAUUCUCGACUGCAGCCCCCCGUAGG